UACGUAGGGUGCGAGCGUUGUCCGGAAUUAUUGGGCGUAAAGAGCUUGUAGGCGGUUUGUCGCGUCUGCUGUGAAAAUCCGGGGCUCAACCCCGGACUUGCAGUGGGUACGGGCAGACUAGAGUGUGGUAGGGGAGACUGGAAUUCCUGGUGUAGCGGUGGAAUGCGCAGAUAUCAGGAGGAACACCGAUGGCGAAGGCAGGUCUCUGGGCCGACUACUGA
rnacentral:rRNA from 1 species